UACGGAGGGUGCGAGCGUUGUCCGGAUUUAUUGGGCGUAAAGAGCUCGUAGGCGGCUUGUCGCGUCGUCCGUGAAAACCUGCGGCUCAACUGCAGGCUGGCGGUCGAUACGGGCAGGCUGGAGUUCGGUAGGGGAGACUGGAAUUCCUGGUGUAGCGGUGAAAUGCGUAGAUAUCGAGAGGAACACCUGCGGCGAAGGCGGGUUGCUGGGCUGACACUGACGCUGAACUGCGAAAGCUAGGGGAGCGAACGGG
rnacentral:rRNA from 1 species